rnacentral:rRNA from 1 species
UACGAAGGGGGCUAGCGUUGCUCGGAAUCACUGGGCUUAAAGGGCGCGUAGGCGGCGGCUCAAGUCGGGGGUGAAAUCCUCUCGCUUAACGAGAGAAUUGCUUUCGAUACUGGGUCGCUGGAGGGAGAUAGGGGUGCGCGGAACUUCCGGGUGGAGCGGUGAAAUGCGUAGAUAUCGGAAGGAACGCCGGUGGCGAAAGCGGCGCACUGGAUCUCUUCUGACGCUGAGGCGCGAAGCCAGGGGAGCAAACGGG